UACAGAGGUCUCAAGCGUUGUUCGGAUUCAUUGGGCGUAAAGGGUGCGUAGGCGGCGCGGUAAGUCGGGUGUGAAAUCUCGGAGCUUAACUCCGAAACUGCAUUCGAUACUGCCGUGCUUGAGGACUGGAGAGGAGACUGGAAUUUACGGUGUAGCGGUGAAAUGCGUAGAUAUCGUAAGGAAGACCAGUGGCGAAGGCGGCUCACUGGCCCGAUACUGACGCUGAGGCACGAAAGCGUGGGGGAGCAAACAGG
rnacentral:rRNA from 1 species